AUAGAUGAUGAUAGUGUUUUGUCGCCCCAGUCUUACUUGCAUCUGUUGAUGCACGGUGGUGAUUGACAUUUUAUCUGAUAU